AUGAACGCUGGCGGCGUGGAUAAGGCAUGCAAGUCGGACGAUUUCCUUUUUGAAGAAGAUGCGAUUACAUCAAGUCAACUGAUAUUUUGGAGAUAGUGGCGAACGAGCUAGUAACACCUUGGUACGUACCCGAAAGUUUGGUAUAGCUCGCCGAAAGGCGGGGUAAUCCCAAAUAGUCCCUUCAUCUAUCGGAUGAUAGGGUAAAGUAGCAAUACGCUUUCGGAUCGGCCUAGGUCCGAUCAGUUAGUUGGUGAGGUAAUGGCUCACCAAGACAAUGACCGGUAGGGG
rnacentral:rRNA from 1 species